CGUGUUGACAUGCCAGAAAUAUCUCUGCUUCACUGCCUGUGCUCUUGGAAGUAUUUUGCUGCUCUCUCACCUCUCCAUGAGAGAGACACAUUCAUCUGUCAGCUUAUCGGAGGAAUUUCCAACAAUCUGUGGCAAUGCUACAAGUCUCAAUCUUGCUAGCUGAAGCCAUGUCCAGACUGACCCCACCAUCCUUUGGAGGUUCAGCCAUCCAGAGGCUCCAGGUUGGCAGUUCAGGUGCCAGCUCCUGUGCACCAAAGAAAGUGAUGAGGAGGUUUCUGUCUGCUGGUGUUUAAUGGAAAAAGGAUUUCUCCUGCUCUGCUGCCUUCAUGAGAGGAGCUCUGCCUUCUCUGGGAUAUUCAAUGGUCCCAAGCAUUUCGCCAUGCAGGGAAGGCAUCUCCUCCCUUUCCACACAAAGUGCUGUGUCUGUCUUUCAUCUGCCCUGAAGAAUCUUCCCCCUGACUCCUGAUUAAAAUAUGGGCUGCUUUACA